CCCUUAGAUGUUCUGGGCCGCACGCGUGCUACACUGAUGCAUUCAACGAGUCUAAAACCUGGUCUGAUAGGGCUGGGUAAUCUUUUGAAAGUGCAUCGUGAUUGGGAUAGAUGAUUGCAAUUUUUCAUCUUCAACGAGGAAUGCCUAGUAAACGCAAGUCAUCAGCUUGCAUUGAUUACGUCCCUGCCCUUUGUACACACCGCCCGUCGCUCCUACCGAUUGAAUGAUCCGAUGAAUAUCAUGGAUUGAGGAUGCAAGUAGGUUAGCCUAUCUUCAUCUUCGAGAAGUGAAGUAAAUCUUAUCAUUUAGAGGAAGGAGAAGUCGUAACA
rnacentral:rRNA from 1 species